UGUGCUUCCUCUUAAAAUGCUCUUCAAAAAUGUGUUACUCUCCCUCUUUUUCUUUCUUUCUUUCUUUAAAAAAAAGGAAGUCUUUCGUCUUGCUGACUGAGUUGCUGAGUGAAAGAAGCGAGUGUGUGUGAGAGUGUGUGUGUGUGUGUGUGUGUGUGACCAUGCGCACCAGCGUCUGAGCGCUCCCUCACAGCCUGCGCGCGGAGCCGGGGACUCGGAUCGCUCUCCGCCAGACGCCUCUCGCAGCUCUCAUUUGAGCGCGCGGCUCACCACACACGCACACACACUUUCUUUCUCUCCUUCUCCUCUUUUUCUCCUGCAUUCGGACUCCAACUGAGAGGGGAUUUAACACACGCGGCCAGCUGUGGAGGACGUCCAGAGCCCCUAAAAACGCAAGAUGUUUCUCCUAGCAGUUCCCGCAGACAGGAAUCCGCUCGCAGAGACGAGAGCCACGCUCUCCCCCAGGAGAGGAGCACAAAGGCCAGUCUGCACGCGGCAGAUGCAAAAUCGAGUCCAUCUGCUGCAGGCUUCCCAUCGCCACAUGGAGAUUGAAAAGUGAGGGUCGUUGGGAAGCGUUCGCGUUGACGUCGCUGGAACGCGAACGAGGAACCAGCUGUUGGGAUUUGGACUGCAAGGUCAAUGAGGACAAACAAUUCCAGCAGCGUCUCUCGAGCGCAUGCAGAAGAAAGUGUCGUUUGAGGGGGGAUGGACUCGUGUGACGGACGGCAGCGGUGGCAGAGUUGGUGUCUCUGAGCGCUGGCAUCAUUUCCAUGGCAACCCCUCUAACUAUUAAUUUUCAAUUAAAGCAGACACAAAACGUCCUGCCCCGAGACUAGGGAAGGUGUCAAGAGCACACUGGGGGAAACCAGGGCUUUUUGGAGCAAAUGACACUACUGGGCUUGUUCAUAGUGACAAAAAUCACACCACUGAGCAUCUAAGCACUGUUUUUUAUUUCACAAUCACACCAGUUGCAACACCAAAACCAUAACUGAAACUCAUGCAUGCUAAUAUUAGCAAUUGAUAAGAUAAUAAGUGUACAUGUUAGCAUUAUCAUCUCUAUUAUGUCCCUUGGUUGUUUAACAGAGGUGUUACCUCCCCCUUGUGUCAGUUUUAAAAUCUGACAGGAUUGUCAAUUGCAAUAAAAGCUUAAGGUUACAAUUUUUGCUGAAUUUUAAGUAAAU